rnacentral:lncRNA from 1 species
UCCUUGUACGUGUGUCGUCUCUUGUUCACGCUAAAGAUGGGUGUAUAACAAUCGUAUACAGUAUACCUCCAAAUUUAGAUUCGAGGGUGACUUACUGGUGGGUUUUUCGAGCACUCUUUUGCGAACCUGUGCUAGACAUACCUCGUGGGGCACCUUUAAACAAAACGAUCAUUCGUUAUUGGGCUCGGUUCGAGUCGAUCAGAUUCACUAGGAUCGAUAUAGGGUCGCUAAGAUCAUCGCUUAUGACGAAGGAAGGCGGACGAAUCUUUUUGAGGUUAUCGAAUUUCGUUGCUCGUUACUGGUCGCUGUUGAGUCGGUUAUUUAUAACCGUCUGUUGAUAAAUAUCGAUCGGUAAUUCUUAUCGACUUAAAUAUUUAAGAUUUUCGAAAUUUUUUGAGAUUAUAGAUACAGUAGUCUAGAAUUUUGUUUGAAAAAAUAAAAAAUGGAAAAAUAAAGUACUGUAUAUGAAGAAAUUAGAAGCAUCGUGACGAUGAGGUGUCGAGCUGGCGCAUGUGGAAACAUCGUUUCGAUUUCACGGGGUAACGACGUUCCAUAAAUUUUCUUAUCGAGCACGUUAAAACGAAUAUACGUACACCUGGAAUAUGCAAAUUAUAUGAUAUUUGAUUUUCCUUGAUAAAAAUUUCAUUUUUCUGCUGACACGCGUCGCAUACAGAUUCGAACGUUUUAAGCAAUUUUCAAAUUAAAACUUUUUAAAAUUAUUCGAGAGAUAAACAAUACGAACACGAAUGCAAUUAAAUAAUUUAUUUAACAUUUCGAGAAAUAAGCUAUUUAAUUUCGAUGAAAAUAUCUAGUUUUUUAAUAGUUACUAGAUACUUAGUUAUUUAGUUACUUAAUAUUAAAUUACUAUAAAAUAACUAGUUUUUAUUCUGCUUUUGAUUAAUACUUACCUGCUUAUAUCUAAAGAAGAAAUUUAACAAGUUUGACAAUCUUUUAUCUUAAAAGAAAAGAAAAAGCGAAAAAACGACUUUAUACACGCGCCAACUCAACGCAUAGAGAAUAGACCUUGGUGAAAUGAGCAAAAGACGCAAAAAGACUCACUGUUUCUGAUUACUUGUAUCAGUGAUAGGCACUCGUGUACUAAUAAUAAGUACUCGUACUGACACACGAGGCGAGUCUGCGUGAAUCAGGCGACACCAACAACACGUGAAAACACACGAUAAAAACUCUGGAACCCGAGACGGUCCGCGUCUACACAACGACGAAUGCGGACGGUUCGGUAUCCGGUGGUCGACCAGCGUCGAGCAUGCACAAUGAUACGUCAUUUUCGUGCCUCGAGGCGUUUUGUCAGAGUCAUCUCGCCGGCAAUCGACGACUUCCGCCCGUCUACAACCGCUUUCAUCCGCCAUUGGAAAAAUGGCAUCGAUGUUUCUUCGUCCAUUUUUCUUUUGCAUAUACUAUAUGCAAUAUACGUAUAUGUGAAUCGUGAAUUUCUUAACCUUCAAAUUGUAUUUUGCGACAUCAAAGUGAAAUUAUUGAAUAAAUUUUAAUUAAAAAAAAAAUUAAACUGAUGCAUAUAUAUGUCAGUGUACUUGAAGAGGUUAAUAUUGGGAUGACAGUAAGGAUUGAGAAAAUUUUGAAAAAAAUUUCCAAUCUAUUCACCUGGGAGAACGAGAAAUGUUAAGAUCAAUGAUAAACGUGAAAAGAAAAAUGUGAAAACGGAAAGAUGGAUUUCAUUGGCAUCGAUUUUCGAGGUGGAAGUCGUCGAUUCCAGGAUGGAAAGAAGCCACCAACACCACACUUAAGCUUCUCCCAUGCGACGAAACGUCGAUGCUUUAAUUAAAGGAGAAUACAGAUGAAGAUAAAAAUCUAACCUAACCUGACUCAAGUGCGAGAAGAAAAUUAAGAAAAAUCUUCGUCGAAAAUGAAGAAAGGUGAAAAAAGAAUAUUUAUAAAAAAAAAACGACGAAUAUCUUUUCGAAAGAACAUAUGUAUGAAGAAAUUCGUUAUUUAAUUAAAUAUAUAAAAUUUAUAUAACGUACAAAUAUAUAUAAAGAAUAAAUAUAUACGAAGAAUCUAACAUAACCUAAUCUAAUUGAGAGAAAAACUCUUCUCUUUCCCUCGAAUCUGGAAAAAAAAAUAGAAACAAAGAGGAAACGAUACGUGAAAUCAAGUCAAAUAAAUAAAACGAGCAACGAUCUUCACCAAGCCUAACUUAACCUAAUUGAAAAAAAAUCGAAAAUUAAGAAAUGAGGAGAAAGAAAGAAACGAGAGAUUUCUUCAAACCGAUAUAUAAUCGAAGUCAAAAGAAUAAAACAAAGCGAAACAAUAAUGAAAAAGAAGAAAAUAUCGUUGAGCAGGAAUAUAUUCAAAAAUUGUUGAUCUGGAUUUUUGCUAAUGGACACGAACGAGAAGAUAAGGAAAAGGCGGAGAUUUUUCUGCUGUCUUCCAAUUAUCCUUCGAUUCUCGCCAAUUCCAACUCUUGGAGUUCACCACUUGGAUAUUUCAAAUUUUAUUUAUUAUAUUCGGGGAUGUUUGUCGGAUUAAGGAGAACGAAGAUGAGGAUGAGAAGGGAAUUUCCGAUUUUCUAAUUAUUAUCCAUGAUUUUUGCGUGGAACGUUGGAAUGUUUAUUAUUAAUUCAUAAUAAUAAACAUGCUCGGAUUCGCCA